rnacentral:rRNA from 1 species
AGAGUUUGAUCAUGGCUCAGAGUUAACGCUGGCAUCGUGCAUAACACGUGCAAGUGAACGGGACUUAGUUUGUAGCUUGCUAUAGACUAAGUUUAGUGGCAGACGGGUGAGUAAUGUAUAAGAAACCUACCUCUGAGUGGGGAAUAACAGUCCGAAAGGAUUGCUAAUACCCCAUAACAUAAUGAAAGGCAUCUUUUUAUUAUCAAAGAUUUAUCGCUUGGAGAUGGUCUUAUAUUCUAUCAGCUAGUUGGCAGUGUAACGGACUACCAAGGCGACGACGGAUAGCCGGCCUGAAAGGGCGACCGGCCACAAGGGCACUGAGACACGGGCCCUACUCCGUACGGGAGGCAGCAGGUGGGGUAAUUUUUGGACAAGUGGGACGAAAGCCUGAUCCAGCAACGAUGCGUGGAGGAUGAAGGUUCUCGGAUUAGUAAACUUCCUUUGUAAGGGAAGAAAAAAUGACGGUACCUUACGAAUAAGCCACGGCUAACUACGUGCCAGCCGCUGC